rnacentral:rRNA from 1 species
UCCAGUGGUAACAGCACGUUGAAUGUACAAGUUCUCAAAUGAUCAUAGAAGUUGAACAACGUUGUGUUUGGUUAAUACCUGGACGGGUGACUGUCUAGGUCUAGGACCUGAUGUGCUUCUGGCA